UACGGGGGGAGCAAGCGUUGUUCGGAUUUACUGGGCGUAAAGGGCGCGUAGGCGGCCACCGCAAGUCGGUUGUGAAAUCUCUGGGCUUAACCCAGAAAGGUCAACCGAUACUGCUGUGCUAGAGUGCGGAAGGGGCAACUGGAAUUCUCGGUGUAGCGGUGAAAUGCGUAGAUAUCGAGAGGAACACCUGCGGCGAAGGCGGCUCUCUGGACCGUAACUGACGCUGAGGCGCGAAAGCGUGGGGAGCAAACAGG
rnacentral:rRNA from 1 species